rnacentral:rRNA from 1 species
CGAGGAUAAUUCGCAAUGGACGAAAGUCUGACGAUGCGACGCCGCAUGAACGAUGAAGGCCUUUGGGUUGUAACGUUCUGUUGCCAUAGAACAAGAGUACUUGACGAAUAGUUGGGUAUGAUGAGGGUAUAGGGAGAGGAAGCAACAGCUAAUUCCGUGCCAGCAGCUGCGGUAAUACGGGAGGUGCAAGCGUUAGUCGGAAUUACUGGGCGUAAAGGGUGCGUAGGCUGGGAUAUAAGUUGGUUGUGAAAUACCGGAGCUCAACUCCGGAACAGCAAACAAUACUGUAUUUCUAAGAGGAGUGGCGGAGAGAAUGGAAUUCCAUGUGUAGCGGUGAAAUGCGUAGAUAUAUGGAAGAACACCUGUGGCGAAAGCGGUUCUCUAGCUUCCUCCUGACGCUGAGGCACGAAAGCAAGGGGAGCAAAC